GAUGAACGCUAGCGGGAGGCCUAACACAUGCAAGCCGAGCGGUAUAUAUAGCUUGCUAUAUAGAGAGCGGCGUACGGGUGCGUAACGCGUAUGCAACCUGCCCUUAUCAAGAGGAUAGCCCUUCGAAAGGAGGAUUAAUACUUUAUAACAUAGGAAUAGGCAUCUAUUUUUAUUAAAAGAUUUAUUGGAUAAGGAUGGGCAUGCGUCAGAUUAGCUAGUUGGUAAGGUAACGGCUUACCAAGGCGAUGAUCUGUAGGGGGCCUGAGAGGGUGAUCCCCCACACUGGUACUGAGACACGGACCAGACUCCUACGGGAGGCAGCAGGGAGGAAUAUUGGACAAUGGGUGCAAGCCUGAUCCAGCCGUCCCGCGUGCAGGAAGACGGCCCUAUGGGUUGUAAACUGCUUUUAUAUAGGGAUAAACCUACUUUCGUGAGAGUAGCUGAAGGUACUAUAUGAAUAAGCAUCGGCUAACUCCGUGCCAGCCGCCGCAGUAACAC
rnacentral:rRNA from 1 species